rnacentral:rRNA from 1 species
UACGUAGGGUGCAAGCGUUGUCCGGAUUUAUUGGGCGUAAAGAGCGUGUAGGCGGCCAGGUAGGUCUGCUGUGAAAACUCGAGGCUCAACCUCGAGACGUCGGCGGAAACCAUCUGGCUAGAGUCCGGAAGAGGAGAGUGGAAUUCCUGGUGUAGCGGUGAAAUGCGCAGAUAUCAGGAAGAACACCCGUGGCGAAGGCGGCUCUCUGGGACGGUACUGACGCUGAGACGCGAAAGCGUGGGGAGCGAACAGG